CACAGGUGAUGAGCUGCUGCUGGCUCUUGUUUCAAUUUGUCAUGUAGAGGUCUUGUUUGAUUUCACCCAGUUCACCUUCCCGAGUCCGUGUGCACUCUGCCACGCACUCUCUCUCGUUUCCACUCCGACCAAUCCUGGAUGGCAGCAGCUCCUCACCUGCACCUCAUUGACAGCCAAUUAGGCCAGACCAUAUAAACGUCGUGUGUUCCGUUGUCAGUGGCCAGUUUGUUGCGCUUGAGAUUGUGUCACUGUGUGUGAGUUUGUGUUACCGGCCUCAGACCUGGAAGAAUCUGAGUCGGCAGAAGUGAUCCACAGGUGGUAGGCACUGUGGAUCUGUGAACAGAAUUGAGCCCGUAUGUCUUGCUCAUGUGUGGGCAGAGGCUCACCUUCCUCACGCUUCAAUUCAGCGGGUGCAGCGCAGGAGUGCCGUCUACUGACUACUUCGCCAAAUAUCAUCACAGUGAAAAAUUGUCAGUCACUGUCAGAAAAGUAAUCACCUUUAAAAAAACGUGUGCGUUAUAAACUUUUGACUCGAGGCGGUUUCUAAACCUUCGACACAUGCAAGCGUUUUGUUAGCAUAUCUCCCUCGUUACAGCAUUUCUGUGCCACCUUGUCAAGUCUUGUUCAUGUUUCAAGUUGAGCCUUGGACCUCGUUUCUGGAUUUUUGGACUUUGCCUUUUUGCUACGUGUUUUUUGUGGUUCUCCCUUUUUUGGACUGCUCACCUGUGUAUGAUCUGUUCCAUAAUUAAACUCCCCUCAAAAAUCAUGUCCCUGCAUUUGGGUCCUACUCCUAAAAGUUGUAUUAGGAUUAGUUCAAGCUUUCACUUCAUAGUUUUUUCACAGAGAAAAAUGAUUUGAAAAUUAUUGUACAUGGUUUUAUACCUUUCACAUUUCAAAUUAAAUUAUUCAGGUGCAAUAUUUUUUUCUAAACUAAAAGUUUAGAAUGACCUCAGCCAGAAUUAAACUCCCCUCAAUCCUCGACCUAUCCCUGCAUUUGGGUCGUACCUCUUGCCAAAAUCCAAAUAAUAACAGAUGAGAAAAUACAAACAAAAAAUUUGACAGAUUGAAACAAUAAUUUUACUGAUUUGGGUGUUUGUUGACCUUCAAGAAGUAUUUCUGGUCCACACGGGAGCAUUUCAGUACAUUUUAGCAUCUUUCACACCACAAAAUGAAAAACUUCAAUUAAUUCAUUUACUUUAAACCACCCCUGAAAUUCAAAUUUUUUCAGAAUUUAAAAACUCUCAAAUCAAGUUCAGUUUUUGUUUUAAAUUCAUUUGAAUUGUAAUUUUACAUGCAGUAAUUUGACAAUUAACUGCUAGAUUUUGAGAAUUCAAGAAUGAUUUUUUUUUUUUUUUAUAAUAAUUUUUUUGUUGAAAAAACAAACAAAUCCAGGCUGACUUUUUUUAGGAUGAGCUGUUAAAGGGUUAAUGCCAAAAUACUCCCUGGAAAAAAAAACUACAAAUAUACUGGUACUCCCUAA